UGAGCCUAAAAAAACAACAGUUCCUUUAAAGUCUCUGUGUUUCAGGUCAAAUACUGAGCUGUGGAAGUGAAAUCUACUCCGCGGUAAUGAAACCCAAACGUACAAACCGAGCCGCUGCAGAGUCUGAAACCACAGACAUCUACUCUGAGAUCAGUGACGUGGGGGAGCGGCCACGCGCUGGAAACGGCCGUGGAGCGGACGCUAAAGCAGAGCUGUACAGCAGCGUCAACAAGAAGAAGAGGAACGGUAACCAUACAAAUGUGACCCAGUUCAUCAUUUACAACGUGUAGCACCCGUAC
rnacentral:lncRNA from 1 species